rnacentral:rRNA from 1 species
GACGAACGCUGGCGGCGUGCUUAACACAUGCAAGUCGAACGGAAAGGCCCUGCUUUUGUGGGGUGCUCGAGUGGCGAACGGGUGAGUAACACGUGAGUAACCUGCCCUUGACUUUGGGAUAACUUCAGGAAACUGGGGCUAAUACCGGAUAGGAGCUCCUGCUGCAUGGUGGGGGUUGGAAAGUUUCGGCGGUUGGGGAUGGACUCGCGGCUUAUCAGCUUGUUGGUGGGGUAGUGGCUUACCAAGGCUUUGACGGGUAGCCGGCCUGAGAGGGUGACCGGCCACAUUGGGACUGAGAGACGGCGCAGACUCCGACGGGAGGCAGCAGUGGGGAAUAGUGCACAAUGGGCGGAAGCCUGAUGCAGCAACGCCGCGUGCGGGAUGACGGCCUUCGGGUUGUAAACCGCUUUCGCCUGUGACGAAGCGUGAGUGACGGUAAUGGGUAAAGAAGCACCGGCUAACUACGUG